rnacentral:lncRNA from 1 species
UUUUAGGAAUUAACAGUCUUUAUUGGGCUCAGACCAGGAGUCCGUGGGUCUUGAGGACCUCUGUGUAUUUGUCAAUUUUCUUCUCCACGUUCUUCUCGGCCUGUUUCCGUAGCCUCAUGAGCUGUUUCUUCUUCCGGUAGUGGAUCUUGGCUUUCUCUUUCCUCUUCUCCUCCAGGGUGGCUGUCACUGCCUGGUACUUCAACUUGUUUCUGUAGAAAUUGCCAGAAAUGUUGAUGCCUUCACAGCGUACAACCACCACCUUCCGGCCCAGCAGUACCUGUUUAGCCACGAUGGCCGCCAGGCGGCCCAGGAGAUGGCCUCGACCAUCAAGCACCAGGACCUGCACCUCCGCCAUCUUCGGCAGCCGCUUGGGAAAGC